AGGGCACCACCAGGAGUGGAGCCUGCGGCUUAAUUUGACUCAACACGGGAAAACUUACCCGGCCCGGACACUGGAAGGAUUGACAGAUUGAGAGCUCUUUCUUGAUUCAGUGGGUGGUGGUGCAUGGCCGUUCUUAGUUGGUGGAGCGAUUUGUCUGGUUAAUUCCGAUAACGAACGGGACUCUAGCCUACUAAAUAGACCAGAGGCUUCUUAAAACACGUCUCUGGCUGCUUCUUAGAGGGACAGGCGGCGAUUCAGCCGCACGAAACGGAGCAAUAACAGGUCUGUGAUGCCCUUAGAUGUCCGGGGCCGCACGCGCGCUACACUGAAGUGAUCAGCGUGCUUUUUGUACCCUGCUCUGCCAAGAGUGGGUAACCCAAUGAACCUUCUUCGUGAUUGGGAUAGGGGAUUGUAAUUAUUCCCCUUGAACGAGGAAUUCCCAGUAGGCGCGAGUCAUAAGCUCGCGUUGAUUACGUCCCUGCCCUUUGUACACACCGCCCGUCGCUACUACCGAUUGAA
rnacentral:rRNA from 1 species